rnacentral:lncRNA from 12 species
GGGCACACCUGAAGUGCCGUGUCCCCUUCUGGGCUCCUCAGAACAAGAAAAACAAGGAGCUACUGCAGAGGGUCCAGUGAAAGCCACAAAGAUGAUUUGUGGUCUGAAGCAUCUCUCUUCUGAGAAGAGACUGUGGGAGCUGGGACUGUUCAGUCUGGAGAAAAGACUGAGAGGGAAUCUCAUUAAUGUACGCAAAUAUCUCAAAGACAGGUGUCAGAGAGGAUGGUGAGAGACUUUCCAGUGCUGCCCUGUUACAGGAUGAGAAGCAAUGGCCCUAAGCUAAAACACAAGGAAGAACUUCUUUAUGAUGAGAAUGGCAAAACACUGGAACAGCUGCCUAGAGAGAUGGUAGAGUCUCCCUCUCUGGAGACAUUCCAAGCCCACCUGGACAUGUUCCUGUGUCACCUGCUGCAGGUGACCCUGCCUGGGAAGGGGGCUGGUCUGGAUGAUGAGCAGAGGCCCCAGCUCAGGGGUGUUGGACUAGGUGAUCUCCAGGGGUCCCUUCCAGCCGUCAUGACUCUAUGAUUCUGUGAAUUUCCAAAGCACCUUCUGAUGUCCUUCUCUGUAUCCCAGGGCUCAGCCUGCCACUGCUCCAUCAUGACCAAACGACUUCAGCAGUGCCAGGAUGAACAUGGGCCUGGGUAUUGCACUGCCAUAGCCCAGGCACCAGGUAACCCCAAGUCAAGGUUCCAGGCCACUGUUUUAGAUAAAAACCACCUGCUAAUAGCAGGUAUGUUCCUACUGAGCAUUGUACAGGCUGCCAGGAUGCAGGAAGGAGCUGUGGGGUGGCCCAGUGCCCCAGCAGCCCUUAUACCCCCCUCAAAUCACCUGCAGGAGCUGUGCAGAGGACUCAGGCAGCAGGAGAAGGCUGAGGCUCUAUGUGUGCUGCCUUUUCUUCCCAGGGAUCGAUAACCGGGAUCUUCAGAGGGGAAGAGCUGAGCUUUGUUCCACAAAGGAAACAAAUAGAAACGGCUUCAUUAG